rnacentral:rRNA from 1 species
GACGAACGCUGGCGGCGUGCUUAACACAUGCAAGUCGAACGGAAAGGCCUAGCUUGCUGGGUACUCGAGUGGCGAACGGGUGAGUAACACGUGGGUGAUCUGCCCCUGACUUUGGGAUAAGCCUGGGAAACUGGGUCUAAUACCGGAUAUUCAUUUUUCCUCGCAUGGGGAUUUGUGGAAAGCUUUUGCGGUUGGGGAUGGGCCCGCGGCCUAUCAGCUUGUUGGUGGGGUAAUGGCCUACCAAGGCGACGACGGGUAGCCGACCUGAGAGGGUGAUCGGCCACACUGGGACUGAGACACGGCCCAGACUCCUACGGGAGGCAGCAGUGGGAAAUAUUGCACAAUGGGCGCAAGCCUGAUGCAGCGACGCCGCGUGAGGGAUGACGGCCUUCGGGUUGUAAACCUCUUUCAGCUCCGACGAAGCGCAAGUGACGGUAGGAGCAGAAGAAGCACCGGCCAACUACGUG